CUUUAUACGUUUUAAUUUAUUUUUUAUAUAAAAAUAUUGUUCCAAUUAAGUUUUUUUUAUUGAUUUAAUUGUGGGUUUUGACCUUAAAUAUUAGUUUUGUGUAACACCCCCUAACCCCAAACCGUCACCGGAAGAGGAUUACGAGGCAUUACCGGACAUAUCAAAUAAUUUACAAACAAUUCUUAAAUAAAUAACCAACAUAUUUAAAAAAAUCAUAAAUUCAUAUAAAUUAUUACUAAUUUAUUUCAUUCAUUUUUUUAUAUAUUUUUUUUAAAUUUCGGCAACAUUUCUGCUUAUUUUUACAUACAACCCCCUGCAAAAUUUCAAACAUAACCAACCCAAUUCAAGUAUUUCAACCAAGGCAUUUAUAUACUUAAAUCUUAUUUGACAUAUUGACAUAACAACUUAUUUAAUAAAAAUCCUAUUAUCAUUUCUAAUUAACACAUAAAAACUAAUCAAGCCAUUUCAAUUCGAUACCGAUGCCAUAAAGGACUUCUACCAAUUUACUAAUAUAAUCAUCAAAAUACAUAAUAUCUUACUUUACAACAAAACUAUAUAACAUACUAAAAUAACUAUUAUAAUUCUUAUGUACAUGCCACUUUCUCUUAAAGAAAGAAAACAUCACCAAAAUCUUUAUGUCGGAGUCGAGAUUGUCCUGGAUGCUGAACCGAGACUCUGACCCCUUUUCAACUUGCGCACGAAAACAACCGUAUGCUGAGUAUUGUUUACUCAGUGGUAUUACCAUAAUUCAAAUUAUAAUAACAGUAAAGAAUUAUAAUUACCAAGCAUGUAAUUACUCGAUUUCUUAAAUAUCAAUUAAUUCAUAAACUUUCAUUAUUUAACAAUAACAAUACAAUUUUUAGCUAUUCUUCAAUCUCAAUCACAUAUCACAAGUAGCAAUUUCAAUCACUACAUAAACAUUAAUUUCAUGCCUUUCAUUUUCAAUAUCAAUUUCAAUUUGCAAAUUUUAAAUUUUCUCAUACUCAAUACCACAAUUGAUCAAAUUCAUUUGAUUUUUCUCAUUUCAAUUAUUCACCCUAUUAACAAUCUGAACUUUGACGGAUACACGGAUUCCAACCCAAACACACCAAUACGACACAUUGUGCCUAAAACGGUACAUAGUACCUGAUCAAUAUACGACACAUAAGUGCCUAAAACGACACACGAGGUGCCUGAUACGACACAUAAAGUGCCUGAGAUACAACACAUAAAGUGCCUGAUCGGCAAAGCCGAUAAAUCCAGUACUCUUCCAAAUCCUAUGGCAUGCCAACUAUAUCCGACUUAGCCCGACUAGUUAAUAGGGUAUUCAAAUUCUCAAUUCUCUUUCAUUUCCAAUUCAAGAUCACUUUUCCACUUUCUAAUCAAUUAACAAUUUAAUACCAAUACAUAUUUCGAAUAAUCACAUAUAAUCAUAUUUCAAUUCAAUUCAAACCACUUUUCAAUCAAUACACAAUUCACAUUUUCACACAUAUUCAUAAAUUAAUUCACUUUAUUUAAUUCAUAUUUUAAAUUCGUUUUUCAAUCAAAUUCAAAUCACUAAUACUUUUUAAUCAAUAUACAUUUCAAAUACUCACGUAUUUCCAUCAUUCAAUUCAAUUCUCUAUUAUCAUUCCAAUUGCUUACCUAAUUUUACUUACCAUGCAUUUUAAUUAAAAUAUAACAAUUAAUAAUAAAUAAAUUUGAAUUAUAGUAAUACAAACCGGAAUUCUCUUCGGAUUUAAUCCUCGACGAUCUUUUCUUUUCUUUUUUAGGCCGAUGCUUCAGGCUCGAUAUUAGCUACGAACAAUUAAAAUAAUUUCACAAUCAUUAGCACAAAAUAAUUUAAUUGCUGAAAUUUUUAUCUAACUUUUACUUUAAUUCUAACUAAAUUUAUCUACUUUUCAAAUUUAAUUCAUACUCUAUUUCUAUUCAAAUUUUAUCUAAACUCAAAUUUAACUACCAAAUUUUCACCAUAUUUCACUAAUUUCGAAUUUCCCUCAAUUUAAUCCCUAAAAUUCAAAACUUAUAGUUUAGUUUACAAUUCAAUCCUUUAUUCAACUCCAAAUAAAAUUUCUAUCAAAUAAAUCCUCAAUUCCAUCAGUUUAUUCAACAUAAACCCUACUAAAAAAAAUCUAUUAACUUUCAAAAUUUCAACUUAAAUCCAAGAGUAUUUCACUCUAGGAUUCCAAAACAUCAAAUUUAUGAGAAAAUGACUUGAUUUAGCUUACCUAUUAACUUUCAAGCUUCAAAAUCUCAAUUUUCCUCCUUUUUUUUUCUUUCCCUUUUUCUUUCCCUGUUUUCGUCUCUUUCUCUGUUUCUUUUCUGUUCUUCUUCUCUUUUUUUCUAUUCUUUUAUUUCAUUUGUUUUCU
rnacentral:lncRNA from 1 species